rnacentral:lncRNA from 1 species
GUUUUUCAAAUUCCCCAAUUCACUAGGAAUGGGACAAAAAAAUUGGUUAGACUGAAGGUACAAUCUCUUGAGCUCAGUUAAGUUACCUAGAGUAAUUGGAAUUGAACCACUAAGCUGAUUAUCAUAUAAUGUCAUAGUAGUGAGGUUUUUCAAAUUCCUUAACUCACUAGGAAUGGGACCAGCAAGAUGGUUAGAAUGAAGGUACAGACUCUUGAGUUUGGUUAAGUCUCCUACAACAGUUGGAAUUGAACCACUAAGAUGAUUAUCAGACAAUUCCAAAUCAGUGAGGUCUUUCAAAUUCCCCAACUCACUAGGAAUGGGACCAGAAAGUUGGUUAGAAUAAAGGUACAGACUUUUGAGCUCAGUUAAGUCACCUACUGCAAUUGGAAUUGAACCACUAAGCUGAUUAUCAGACAAUUCCAAAUCAGUGAGGUCUUUCAAAUUCCCCAACUCACUAGGAAUGGGACCAGAAAGUUGGUUAGAAUGAAGGUACAAACUCUUGAGUUUGGUUAAGUCUCCUACAACAGUUGGAAUUGAACCACUAAGAUGAUUAUGAGACAAUUCCAAAUCAGUGAGGUCUUUCAAAUUCCCCAACUCACUAGGAAUGGGACCAGAAAGUUGGUUAGAAUGAAGGUACAAACUCUUGAGUUUGGUUAAGUCUCCUACAACAGUUGGAAUUGAACCACUAAGAUGAUUAUCAGACAAUUCCAAAUCAGUGAGGUCUUUCAAAUUCCCCAACUCACUAGGAAUGGGACCAGAAAGUUGGUUAGAAUAAAGGUACAGACUUUUGAGCUCAGUUAAGUCACCUACUGCAAUUGGAAUUGAACCACUAAGCUGAUUAUCA